rnacentral:tRNA from 1 species
GCUAGGUUAGCUCAGAUGGUAGAGCACCCGAUCGAUAAUCGGGAUGUCGCAGGUUCGAGCCCUGCACCUAGCA